AUAAAUUGUCCCAGAAUGAGCAAAGCGUGCGAAGCCGUCGUUAAUAAUUAUAAACCAGUCCAUGAGCUAAAAAUAGCACAGCUGGGAAACCCAAGUUAUGACCUCGGAUUAAAUUACGGUCUUGUAAACAAUUUCAGAGAUUUGCCAUCAAAAAGGCUGUAUGAAUCGGAUAGUGACACUGAUGAGAAUGAGACAGACACCGAGAGUAGGCCAUCACAAGUUAUUGACAAAGCAACAACGCCAAACAGGCACGAAGCCUGCUUUCACCUCCACCUUGCUUAUCUGCACAGGCAUUGCGAGAGGCCAGCAGUGAUGUGCAAAGUGCUUCUCUAAUACAAGGUGCUUCUGAUACACCCUCCCGUGGGCAGAUUAUUGGGCCCACUGCUGUUACACAGAUUCUCUGAGUCUUGGAGACAAUGCGGGAGGAGAAUCGUGAAAUUAAGAGGAUGAUGUAGCAAUUGUUGUCAAGGUCAGCAGCAGAUGACCAACCGCUGCAGCUUCCUGAAGAUAUCUCAUUCCCUAUUCGUUCUCCUUAGCAGAUGGAAACAUUCGAUGAGCUUCUGGGAGAUCAGACAAAGCUGUCAUCUGUGGUGCGGUUCCUCUCAAUGUUUGGUGGGGCAGUUGUGCGGGAAACUGUUGACCGCUAGAUGAUAGAAACCAUGUCAAAUGAACUGGCAAGAAUGUUCAAUAUGAAGGGGGCUGAAAGGGAAGAAAACAUUUGGGGGCCUCUAGAUACUGAAUGUAUUGUAUAAAUGUGUCCAAAGGAACUUGCCGGCAAAGACUGCGACGAGGAAGGAUAUUGAAAUAAAGGUUUCAAAGUGGCUGGCUGGGGCGUGGGACCGCGAUGGGGGAAGGAAAGCAAGAAACAAAUUGUCGGAGACCUUACCUGAAGCAAAUGAAGGAAGUGACUAGACAUGUUUUUAUUUUUAAAAAAUGCAAAUCUAUAGAGGAUAUUUGUUUGUUAGUGUGUAAGAUGAAAUUUUAUAUCAUCAAGUGAGCUGUAAAAACAUUAUUCUCACGAGUGAGAACACUGUUAUU